rnacentral:misc_RNA from 1 species
AAGUCGUAACAAGGUUUCCGUAGGUGAACCUGCGGAAGGAUCAUUAACGAAUGAAGUUGAGCAGGGUUGUCGCUGGCCUCCGGGCAUGUGCACACCUUGUUCUUCCAACCUUCUACACCACUGUGCACUUUCUCAUGGGUUGGGGUUCUGCGCCUUUAAUGGCUGUGUCCCUGCCUGUGUGCCUACACAUACACAUGUUUGUUAUAGAAUGUCUACUGUGCAUGAAUGCAUAUAAUACAACUUUCAGCAACGGAUCUCUUGGCUCUC